rnacentral:rRNA from 1 species
AUUGAACGCUGGCGGCAUGCCUAACACAUGCAAGUCGAACGGGGCAGCAAUGCCUAGUGGCGGACGGGUGAGGAAUACGUAGGAAUCUGCCCUUAAGUGGGGGAUAACCAGGGGAAACCCUGACUAAUACCGCAUGAUCUCUUCGGAGCAAAGAGGGGGACCGCAAGGCCUCUCGCUUCUGGAUGAGCCUACGUCUGAUUAGCUAGUUGGUAGGGUAAAGGCCUACCAAGGCGACGAUCAGUGACUGGUCUGAGAGGAUGAUCAGUCACACCGGAACUGAGACACGAUCCGGACUCCUACGGGAGGCAGCAGUGGGGAAUAUUGAAGAAUGGGAGCAAGCCAGAUCCAGCAAUGCCGCGUGUGUGAAGAAGGCCAUCGGGUUGUAAAGCACUUUAGCCUGGAAAGAAAAAACUUUGGUUAACACCCAAAGUCUUGACGGUACCAGGAGAAUAAGCACCGGCUAACUCUGUGCCAGCCGCCGCGGUAAAAC